CAGUGUGUGUGUGUGCACAUGUGUGUGGGGACAGUGCAGGAAGGGUUGGUGCAGAGCGGAAAGUGAAACUAAACUGAGAACAAAAAUAAUAUAGAGACGAGGGGGGGGAGAAGAAAGAAGCAGAAGGAGCAGCUCUGGUGAAGGAGAAGCAGAGAAUAUCCCUUUCCUACCGAGGGACCCGCUAGAAAAGAAGACAUUCCAGUUGUCAUUUCUUUUAGAAGGAGACAAUGCAAGAAGAGUUUUAUAAUUUUUUUUGCUGAAGAGCAUCUACAGGAAAAAGUCUGAUUAAAGAGUUUUCCUAUGCUCAGGGACCUCAAGGCUGAGGCUCUUCAGUAGUCAGGACAGUAUAAACAUUGAGCUGCGGGUACUUAGCGGAAUGGAGUCAGACCAAGGGGCAUCCCAGCUUUCAGCUGUUGGAAAUCAAGAAACAAGUGGCGCUUCAGAUGCCUCAACUUCAGAGCCUGGUAUUGAAGAGGGUGAAUCCUACGUAGUGGUCCAUGA